GAUGAACGCUGGCGGCGUGCUUAACACAUGCAAGUCGAACGAAGAAGAGUUGAAUGAGAGCUUCGGCAGGAUUUCUUCUCAUCUUAGUGGCGGACGGGUGAGUAACGUGUGGGCAACCUGCCCUGUACUGUGGAAUAAUCACUGGAAACGGUGACUAAUACCGCAUGCCAUCACCGGAGGGCAUCCUCUGGUGAAAAAAGGAUUUAUUCGGUACAGGAUGGGCCCGCAUCUGAUUAGCUAGUUGGUGAGAUAACAGCCCACCAAGGCGACGAUCAGUAGCCGACCUGAGAGGGUGAUCGGCCACAUUGGGACUGAGACACGGCCCAAACUCCUACGGGAGGCAGCAGUGGGGAAUAUUGCACAAUGGGGGAAACCCUGAUGCAGCAACGCCGCGUGAAGGAUGAAGGUUUUCGGAUCGUAAACUUCUAUCAACAGGGAAGAAACAAAUGACGGUACCUGAAUAAGAAGCCCCGGCUAACUACGUGCCAGCAGCCGCAGUAAGAC
rnacentral:rRNA from 1 species